AAUGAUGUUCCUUGAAAUUCUGUUUCUCCUGGGCCAAAUAAUGGUCAGCCACGCAUCAGAUCAUUGUGAUUCUCUGGAGGGGGUCUUGGCAAACUACCCCCAGUGCACUGCCAUUGAUUGCAUUGGUCUCACUUGCACGCCACCAGUCCCCUUUGAAAACGUCACUGGCAAACUAUAGACUAUCUGACCUACCCUCACAGACUAAUGAUUGCUGUACCUAACAUCAUUAACGCAAUCAUGCUAGACAGCUGCAGCCUGUCUCUCUGUUGUGACCACU